GAUGAACGCUGGCGGCGUGCUUAACACAUUCAAGUCGAACGGAAAGGCCCAAGCUUGCUUGGGUACUCGAGUGGCGAACGGGUGAGUAACACGUGGGUGAUCUGCCCUGCACUUCGGGAUAAGCCUGGGAAACUGGGUCUAAUACCGGAUAGGACGAUGGUUUGGACGCCAUUGGGGAAAGUUUUUUCGGUGUGGGAUGAGCUCGCGGCCUAUCAGCUUGUUGGUGGGGUAAUGGCCUACCAAGGCGUCGACGGGUAGCCGGCCUGAGAGGGUGUACGGCCACAUUGGGACUGAGAUACGGCCCAGACUCCUACGGGAGGCAGCAGUGGGGAAUAUUGCACAAUGGGCGCAAGCCUGAUGCAGCGACGCCGCGUGGGGGAUGACGGCCUUCGGGUUGUAAACUCCUUUCGCUAGGGACGAAGCGUUUUUGUGACGGUACCUGGAGAAGAAGCACCGGCUAACUACGUG
rnacentral:rRNA from 1 species